CAGCUAGCUAGCAGACAGUGCGGUUCGGCUGGACUCCUCUAGUCAUAAUCGCGCGUUGCGUGUAUAAAUAUUUUCUCUAUCUAUCGUCAUCGUUGUGUUGUCGACAUUCAAAUUCCUAGUAUUGCAACGUGCUUUGCACAGAUGUGGCGUUAUUCGGAUUUCCCGACUGUUAACUAUUCCAGCUCGAAUCGGAAUCACUAACCUAACUGGCUCAGCGCAUGAACAGCUGAUUCUAUCACACACUUCUCUGGCGACCGGUUUCAGACGACUGACUGAUCAAAAUUCGAUCGCCUCCGCUGGCCGGCGUUCAUGCGGAACUUCGAAUUUUGCUCGACAGUCGCGCGAAUUUUAAUCAGCUGACAUAAAGUGCGGAACGACUUUUCCGUUGGGUGCACCGUACGAGCAAUGCGCGGCGUUUAAUGUGUUGUAAAUUUUAUUCAGUUGAUGAAUAAUUAGAAUUGCUGAAGUUCGAUUCUAAUUGUGAUUAGAGUUAGCGCUUAUACUUGGAAGUGCCGUAAAGUCUGAUUGGCGUGCACUUCAGUGCUGGUUCGCUAUAGGCCGUGAGUUGAUUGUACACUACCGCUAGUGACCAACCAAGGUUCAGCAGCGCCGCCGAAGGCUGCACGUCAAUAUACUCUCGCCAUGUGGAACUAGGCCAUCGGCGUCUGUUGUCGUAGAUGAUAAGGACUGUAAGUUAUCGUCAAUAUUUUCCUGUGUGCUUCCCGUCUGUUCAAAACAGUCGAAUUGCCCCUAGGAAAGUGUCAUCUUGCUAAUCCGGUAUAACGGAACGCACUGUUGUCCGUGGCAGAUCGUUUAGGAAGUGAUGUGAGCCUCACAGGUUUAUUAAGUAUAGGAGGUUGUUGUGUGCACGCUUGAUCGGUUUUUGUCUUCGGUAAAAGCUAAGCGUCUAAUCGUUCUGCGUGCGGACUAAUUUUAGUUUACAAGUGAAGUGACUCGGACGGAGCUGCUCUAGCAAUCAUCGUUGGGGGUAGCUUUGCGUUGUGAAUCUGGUAUCUUGUGAGCGAAAAGAUACUAUUUGGUAUUUUGUGUUUCAGGAAAAUCCCGGACGGACGGGUGACGGUGUUUUCCGCGAGUAUCAGAAGUUUCUGCUCGGGCUUGAUUCACAUGCUGGUGAGAAUUCCGUCCGCACUGGAUAGUGAAGGGUGAAUAUGGUCGAUCACUAGCGAAUCGGCCGGCAAAGUAUUCAGUGUUUGGUGUUUCUGGUGGUCGGGCUGCGUGUUUAUCACCGCCGGUACGUUGUGUGUGCUGAUUAGUGAGUGCGGGUGAAAAUGUUCAACGAGAAAAAAUUAGGCGAGAUGGAUCGGCUUAUGGUGCCGACCAAGAUCAUACCCACAAGGCAGCCCCUGGCGGGAACCAAAGAUCUGGAUCUGGACGAUCAGGAUGAUGGCCUAGGAUACACGCAUACGCUGAUGUAUGGCCGCUAUACCAAAGAUCUAGGAGAAUACGCCAAAGAUGAAGCGAGAAGACUCAGACUUCUUGAACGAAGAAGAAAAAAAGAAGAUAAAUCAAGGAACAAGGAACUGUUGGGAGUGCGGGAUAACAGAUUUUACAAAGCCGGUUCCUGGCUAUGGCGGAACACAUUUGCCAGAUUGGGCGAGGACUGGGUAUUCCUGGCCCUGCUCGGCAUCAUCAUGGCGUUGCUGUCCUACGUGAUGGAUAAGGGCAUCGCUAUGUGCACGAACUCACGAGUAUGGCUCUACAGAGAUCUCACUAACCAUCCGGUGGCGCAGUAUUUGGCCUGGGUUUCCCUGCCCGUUGUACUCAUUUUGUUCUCCGCCGGUUUCGUCCACCUGGUGGCACCGCAAAGUAUAGGCUCCGGUAUUCCAGAAAUGAAGACCAUUCUCCGGGGCGUAGCACUGAAAGAAUAUCUCACCUUCAAGACUCUGGUCGCCAAAGUGAUAGGCCUGACGGCAACCCUGGGCUCGGGAAUGCCCCUUGGCAAGGAAGGCCCCUUUGUACAUAUAGCUAGUAUAGUAGCACAAUUAUUAAGUAAAAUCAUAACAUCAUUCCAAUCGAUCUACGAGAAUGAGUCCCGCAAUACGGAAAUGCUGGCGGCGGCCUGUGCCGUCGGAGUGGGAGCCUGCUUCGCGGCCCCGGUCGGCGGUGUGCUGUUCAGUAUCGAGGUCACCACGACGUACUUCGCAGUGCGCAACUACUGGCGGGGCUUCUUCGCGGCCGUCUGCGGUGCAACGGUGUUCCGGUUGCUAGCGGUCUGGUUCCAGAAGGCGGACACCGUGACGGCUCUGUUCGCCACCAAUUUCACUGCCGAUUUUCCGUUCGAUCCACAGGAACUGUUUGUGUUUGCACUGAUCGGCCUUGUCAGUGGUCUUGGAGGUGCACUGUACGUAUGGGUUCAUCGCAAAUACGUAUUCUUCAUGCGAUCCAAUAAAGGAAUGAACAAAUUUCUUCAAAAAAAUCGUUUCCUGUAUCCCGGCAUUCUGGCGCUGAUCGUGGCCACUCUUUCAUUCCCUCUCGGCUUCGGCCAAUACAUUGCCGGGGAACUGAGUACCCACGAGCAGGUACUGCAGCUGUUUUCCAACUUCACCUGGAGUAAACAGGAUCUCACCGUAGAACAGGCUGCUAUCGUGUCCAACUGGCGGACGGCCUAUACAGAUGUCUUCGCCAAUUUGUUUAUUUAUUUGUUAUACACGUUUUUCUUUUCCAUCAUCACCUCAACCAUUCCGGUUCCUUCUGGUAUCUUCAUUCCUGUGUUCAAAAUCGGCGCUGCCCUGGGUCGCCUGGUCGGCGAGGGAAUGCAUCUGUGGUUCCCCUACGGGGUGCGCUACGGUGGCAAGCUGGCACCGAUCAUCCCCGGUGGAUAUUCGGUCGUGGGAGCUGCCGCUUUCUCCGGAGCCGUCACCCAUACAGUUUCGGUGGGUGUAAUAGUGUUCGAAAUGACCGGCCAAAUUACGCACAUCGUGCCGGUAAUGAUUGCUUCGCUGGUUUCGAAUGCGGUCGCCGCUCUUCUACAGCCGUCCAUGUACGAUAGCAUUAUCUUAAUUAAGAAAUUGCCGUAUCUGCCAGAUCUGCUACCUAGUGGUUCCGGAAUGUACAACAUCUACGUCGAAGACUUCAUGGUACGAGACGUUAGGUACAUUUGGAAAGGAAUCUCCUACCAGAAGCUGAAGGAAAUUCUGAAAGCGAAUAAAGCUUUAAGAAGCCUACCGAUCGUCGAUUGCCCGGACAACAAGGUUCUGCUAGGAAGCGUUCAAAGGUACGAACUGAUCAAACUGAUCGACAAACAUAUCGGUCGCGAGAAACGUCUAGAAGUGGCAGCUAAAUGGAUGAAAGAAGCCGAAGAAAAAGCUCGCGAAGAGCAAGAACGACUCAAGCGGGAGGCAGAAGAGCUGCAGAAAACACGCCGUCCAUCACGUUUCGAAGUCAGUCCAGCGCCGGACAUUUUAAAACUGCGUGAGCGAGCCAACAACGAAAUGCUACCGCCACAGGCGAAAAAAGAAACGACACUCCAGUAUAGUCCUGUUUUCGGGACGCAGCCGAAAAAAUCCAUCCUGAAAAAAACGAACUCAUUCACGCUAAAGGGUACCACUCCUCUAUCAGCACACAGUCCGGUCCAAACGCCAUACACAACCAUCACCGGGACGGAAAGUAAGAUUCGAUCAGCGUUUGAAAUUAUAUUCCGCAAGUCGGCAACCCUACAGGAUGUUACUCCCGAUCCUGAAAUCGGUUCCAUCGGUACGCCAAGUAUCAGUGGAACCGAAGGUGUACCAUUGACCCCGGGAAUCUCCAAGAAAGUGCAACUGCCACGGGAGCGAGUCAUCGACAUGUCACCAGAGGACCAGAAAGCCUGGGAACUGGAGGAAAUGAAUAAGCCAAUCGACGUAGACAACCUGCACAUUGAUCCGGCGCCGUUCCAGCUGGUCGAACGUACCUCAAUUCUAAAGGUUCACUCACUGUUUUCGAUGGUGGGUAUCAACCACGCGUAUGUGACGAACGUUGGCCGACUGGUCGGUGUGGUGGCACUGAAAGAGCUGAGGGUGGCCAUCGAGAAUGUGAACAGCGGCACGCUUACACCGGAAUCGGUGAAACAGAAACAGGAGGAGGAAGCCAGAGCCAAAGAGGCGGAAAUCAGUAGCGCAGAGGACCCACUCCUGCCGAAGGGACCUAACGGUGGCUACAGCGAUAAAAAAGUAAAUAAUACGAUAACAUCCAUGGAUUCUGCACUAUCCAACUCGGAUAACUGUUCCGAUAUCGAGCUAGACAACAUUAGAUUUACGGGCGAUAAACGCAGUGCCACUAAUAAAACCAACAACAACAACAACAACAACAACAGUAGCAGCAAUGGCGGCGGCGGCGGCAACAACAACAACAACCACUCAAACAAUCACGGUGGCGUGCAACAGUAGUCUUUAUUAUUUAAAACAAAACGUACUACGUAGCUAGUAGCUUGUGCAGUUCUGUGAACUGAACGUCCACUCUAUUAGGCAACAAUUUCGCACUGCACCUCUAGGAUUGCGACCAAUACUAGCUAAUAGUUUAACACGCAGACACAUAUCCAUCUAAUAUUAAUUAUUACAUUCAUCCGCACUAGCAGAAACUAAUUCAUACACCAAUGCACAAUCUCACAAUGGAAGAAGUCUAUUGGUCGUAGAGAACACUGUAUCAUCUUGGGACGCUAGAAAGAUAUUCAAAGAUUGAGAUAAACCGUGAUUGAUGCCAGCUAAUCCUUUCCUCCGUUCCCGUGAGGACAGUCUAAUCUUUAUGGAAAAAAAGAUGUGAUUCUAAUUUUAAUGAUAUACCUACCUAUCUAAACUGUUAAACCGUGCGGUCGGAAUGUUGCCUUCUAGGCCACCGGAAUCGAGCGCUUUGGAUGUCUUAAACCGCCCGAAACGGGAAGUACGUGAAUAUAAAUAUAUGAACGAACAAGACCAUCAACGGAAUUGUGGAGUGCAGCCAGAUUCCAUCGUUUUGGCUUGGAAUUGUUGUUUUUAAGUAGUUCCGACCUAGCCAAGGCCCACGUAACAAUAGGAAAUUAUUUUAAGUGUGAAUGUUGAUAUCGUUUUAAGUAACAAACUAAUCCAAUUAUAGGAGAUUUCUCUCGUCCAAGACGAAUAUAAUUUAUAUCGAAAAAGACAUAGUUUUUUACUAUUCUGUGACUCGCUACCAGGAACCGGUUGAGCCAGUUUGUACGGUUUCGGCCCGUUACUGUUAAGAAGAAUUAAAAAUUGUUCUGAUCCGUGUAUAUUUAGUAGAGAAAAAUAAAAUAAA